CUGCAGUCAAUUAGGCCAGUCAGGUUCCUUUCCUCAUAGGGGCCCCGCAUGCAAUGGCCGAAAACAGCAGCCUCCUAAAGAGUGUGUGCAGCCUGUCGCCUACGUGGAUCACCCUGAGGGACUUUGGAGACAGUU
ensembl:snoRNA Gm26169 small nucleolar RNA SNORA70